rnacentral:rRNA from 1 species
AUUGGCAGUCAUAUCACCCUGUAGCCCAAGACUGGUUGCCCACUGAAGCUAAGCAGGGCUGAGCCUGGUCAGUACCUGGAUGAGAGAUCUCCUGGGAAAACUAGGUUGCUGCUGGAA